rnacentral:rRNA from 1 species
AGAGUUUGAUCCUGGCUCAGAACGUACGCUGGCGGCACGCCUAACACAUGCAAGUCGAACGAAGUAGCAAUACUUAGUGGCAGACGGGUGAGUAACAUGUAGGUAUCUGCCCUAUGGCCUGGAAUAACACGAGGAAACUUGUGCUAAUACCGGAUAAGUCUUUACAGAGAAAGCUUUAUGCACCAUUGGAUGAGCCUGCACUUGAUUAGUUUGUUGGUGGGGUAAUGGCCUACCAAGACUGUGAUCAAUAGCUGAUUUGAGAGGAUGAUCAGCCACAUUGGGACUGAGACACGGCCCAAACUCCUACGGGAGGCAGCAGUGGGGAAUCUUGCACAAUGGAGGAAACUCUGAUGCAGCGAUGCCGCGUGAGUGAAGAAGGCCCUUGGGUUGUAAAGCUCUUUCGUCGGGGAAGAAAAUGACUGUACCCGAAUAAGAAGGUCCGGCUAACUUCGUGCCAGCAGCCGCGGUAAUACGAAGGGACCUAGCGUAGUUCGGAAUUACUGGGCUUAAAGAGUUCGUAGGUUGUUGAAAAAGUUGGUGGUGAAAUCCCAGAGCUUAACUCUGGAACUGCCAUCAAAACUUUUCAGCUAGAGUAUGAUAGAGGAAAGCAGAAUUUCUAGUGUAGAGGUGAAAUUCGUAGAUAUUAGAAAGAAUACCAAUUGCGAAGGCAGCUUUCUGGAUCAUUACUGACACUGAGGAACGAAAGCAUGGGUAGCGAAGAGGAUUAGAUACCCUCGUAGUCCAUGCCGUAAACGA